rnacentral:lncRNA from 1 species
CUUUAUUCUUGAAAAAAAAAAGUUACGUAAUGUGUGAAAUGAAAAAGUUUAUAUAAUCCCGUAUAAUUAACAGAAUAGCAUCAAUGUAUUGAAGCUGCUAGACAAGGACGACUUCAGUUAUUUAGUGAAAUAUCAUAGAUUGCUAAAUGUGUCUUGGUUCAUUAGGAGAUAAUUCUUGAGAGUCACAUUGGUGCUUCCUACCAAGAAGUGAGGGGUCCUAGACCUGGCUCAUCAGGAGGUUCAGAAAGAACAUGGAGCUGAGGAAUAUGAGGACAAGCUGGAACCUGCCAUUGUCCAUAUCUAGCCACAAAGAGAGUGAUGACCUUCGAGAGAAGUGUCUGCUGCUGCAGUUCCUCCUUACACUCUCAAGGAAAUUUCUCUUGUGGUCAACUCUAACCAGUGCCACAGAUGAAAGGGAUUCUGCGAAGUGUAGUUACCCCCAAUCAAACUGAUAUUUAGAUGCCACACUUGGACCUAAAUACAUUUAUGUGCUCAUUUGUUGAAAUGGAAACAAGAGACAUACAAAUCUGCUUAGAAAAUAUCAGGAAAGUUACAUAAGAUAAUAAAUUCAUUUAAAAAUAUUUAACUUGAUUAAUUGGUUUUCUUUUUCACUAAGUCAUAUCUAUUUUUAAAGCCAUGAAUAAACUUAAAAAACAGGAAUAAUUUAAUCUUACCCCCUUCUCUUGAAAUAAUUCUUUUAAGUUGACAAAUCAGUUUGAAUGUCAUUGUGUUAAAAUUUUUGUUUUUUGGAAAAAAUUAUCCAGUACAGUGCCAUCUAGUGCCAAAUUACUUAGUUGCUGGUUAUUGAAAAUAGUUCACUAUAGCAUUGCAUUCUUGAUAAAUCAGGAACUUCACUUUUAAUUAUGUCUAAUUCAUUAGACAUAUUUUAAAGAACUAUUUCUAAAUAAAGCAAAUAUUUGUAAAUAAUUAGAAAAGUAACUUAGAAGAAAGAAUUAGGACUUCUUCAUCC